CAGGUUACCUUUAGCGCCGUCUGAUAUUCUGCCGAGCACGAUGAAGACGACCCUGGUGUUUCUUCUUGUUGUCCUGGUCAUCUCUGCCGAGAUGAUGACAACUGAGAGCUGCGGUCCCGGCCGCGGUAAUACUGGUGGCGACGGAAAACCAGCAGGCGGGUCCGAGAAGAACCAGCCAAUUGGUAAACGGGAGGUGGACAACAACCUGGUGGACAACAACCUGCAGCCAACAGGGGAAUGAUUUAUGGAACGGGCAGGCGGGGUGACUAUCACGUGCCCUCCGCGUGAUCACUGACGGCCGUCAAGAGUACUAGUUCUCUGGCAUAGAUUUAUUUGUAGUCAAGCGUUACGUUGCCAGCUGUGGCUUUGCCGAUCUGUAAUGAAAUGGGUAUGUAAGGGUUUGCUUGAGGUGCAUAAUUUUUCACAAAAUCUGUAGGAACAAGGCGAAACGAGUAGAGAUUCAACCGUUGCUUUGUCGGUAUUAUUCUGAAGAUGUAUGGUAUGCUUUUAAUACAUCAAUACUAAAAACGCAACAGUUUGGUACAUUUAGCAACU